GAAAGCCCAAACAGAGAAGCUUCUUCUCCGUCGCUCCACUCCAUCCUUUUCCCCUCCGCAGACUCUCUCUGUGCCGCGGCCGCAGCCAUGGAUCCAAAAUUUCGGCCGCAGCCAUGGUAAAUUUUCUCUGCCUGACCUCGCUGGUGACCCGGAAGGAAAUCUCUGCCUGGAUGCAAGAGAGCCUGCUCCAGCUGCUGCUCGGUGCAGCACUUGGACAACUUUUACCAAAGUAGUCUUUGGUGGUGGCUGUGCCUCAGCUUUACUCAAGAGUCAACAAUCUUCAUUGCUCCCUGGUGGUCUUGUAAGACUUGGCCGUCUUGGCCCCUCUUCUAAUGAAAUUUGACAAGUUCGAUA